GCCUGGGUGGCUCAGUCAGUUGAGCAUCUGACUUCAGCUCAGGUCAUAAUCUCAUGGUUCAUGGGUUUGAACCCCACAUUAGGCU
rnacentral:tRNA from 1 species